rnacentral:rRNA from 1 species
AGUGAACGCUGGCGGUAGGCCUAACACAUGCAAGUCGAACGGCAGCACAGUAAGAGCUUGCUCUUACGGGUGGCGAGUGGCGGACGGGUGAGGAAUACAUCGGAAUCUACUUUUUCGUGGGGGAUAACGUAGGGAAACUUACGCUAAUACCGCAUACGACCUACGGGUGAAAGCAGGGGAUCUUCGGACCUUGCGCGAUUGAAUGAGCCGAUGUCGGAUUAGCUAGUUGGCGGGGUAAAGGCCCACCAAGGCGACGAUCCGUAGCUGGUCUGAGAGGAUGAUCAGCCAAACUGGAACUGAGACACGGUCCAGACUCCUACGGGAGGCAGCAGUGGGGAAUAUUGGACAAUGGGCGCAAGCCUGAUCCAGCCAUACCGCGUGGGUGAAGAAGGCCUUCGGGUUGUAAAGCCCUUUUGUUGGGAAAGAAAAGCAGCAGGUUAAUACCCCGUUGUUCUGACGGUACCCAAAGAAUAAGCACCGACUAACUUCGUG